rnacentral:rRNA from 1 species
CGUGCAGGCGGGUUGGUAAGUCGGAUGUGAAAGCCCUGGGCUCAACCCAGGAAGUGCAUUUGAAACUGCCAUCCUUGAGUAUGGGAGAGGAGAGUGGAAUUCCCAAUGUAGAGGUGAAAUUCGUAGAUAUUGGGAGGAACACCCGUGGCGAAGGCGACUCUCUGGACCAAUACUGACGCUGAGACGCGAAAGCGUGGGGAGCAAACA